UUNCAAUGUGAUUUGGGGUGCUGUCUGUG
rnacentral:piRNA from 1 species